rnacentral:tRNA from 1 species
UCCCUGGUAGCUCAGCUGGUAAAGAAUCCGCCUGCAAUGCCGGAGACCCUGGUUUGAUUCCUGGACUGGGAA